UCUAGCUUGCUAGAAGAUGACGAGCGGCGGACGGGUGAGUAACGCGUAGAAAUCUGCCUAGUAGUGGGGGACAACAUGUGGAAACGCAUGCUAAUACCGCAUACGCCCUACGGGGGAAAGGAGGGGAUCUUCGGACCUUUCGCUAUUAGAUGAGCCUGCGUGAGAUUAGCUAGUUGGUGGGGUAAAGGCCUACCAAGGCGACGAUCUCUAGCUGGUAUGAGAGGGUGAUCAGCCACACUGGGACUGAGACACGGCCCAGACUCCUACGGGAGGCAGCAGUGGGGAAUAUUGGACAAUGGGCGCAAGCCUGAUCCAGCCAUGCCGCGUGUGUGAAGAAGGCCUUAGGGUUGUAAAGCACUUUCAGGAGUGAGGAAGGGCGUAUAGUUAAUACCUGUAUGUUCUGACGUUAACUCCAGAAGAAGCACCGGCUAACUCUGUGCCAGCAGCCGCGGUAAUACAGAGGGUGCGAGCGUUAAUCGGAAUUACUGGGCGUAAAGCGCGCGUAGGCGGUUUGUUAAGUCGGAUGUGAAAUCCCAGGGCUCAACCUUGGAAU
rnacentral:rRNA from 1 species